UACGUAGGGUGCGAGCGUUAAUCGGAAUUACUGGGCGUAAAGCGUGCGCAGGCGGUUCGUUGUGUCUGAUGUGAAAUCCCCGGGCUCAACCCGGGAACUGCGUCCGAUACUGGUUGGCUUGAAUCCGGGAGAGGGAUGCGGAAUUCCAGGUGUAGCGGUGAAAUGCGUAGAUAUCUGGAGGAACACCGGUGGCGAAGGCGGCAUCCUGGACCGGCAUUGACGCUGAGGCGCGAAAGCCAGGGGAGCAAACGGG
rnacentral:rRNA from 1 species